rnacentral:ncRNA from 1 species
AUAUUGGCGAUGAUAAAGAGUAGUAAGUAUCAUCUUUCGCUUCAGAGAGUUUGUGGGUGGUGUAAACAAACGCGAAAAUGAUUCCGAAUGGACUUUGGAGCCUCUUUCCGAAACUUUAAUCCAGUAGGAUUGAAACAGUAGGAGUAGACGUUAUCCUUGCGUUAAAAGGAAUCCAAAUGAAAUUUGGAACUAAGUGACUCUAUUUUGAGUAAUUAGGGUGGUACCGCGAGCCAUUCGUCCCUAAA